rnacentral:misc_RNA from 1 species
GUGAAUCAUCAAAUCUUUGAACGCAAAUUGCGCUUCCUGGCAUCCCGGGAAGUAUGCCUGUUUGAGGGUCAGUAUUAAUAAAAAGUCGGUUUAGUUGCAAAUUGUGACGUUUCCGGAGUUGGGGCUAUCUCAACAUUUUUGGGUACGAGACUUAAAAUUGACCUUUUUUGCGCAUUUUUAAACGUACAUAAAUUUUUUUUAUGCUUCUAUUCUUAAUGCCAAAAUCUUAUUAUAUGCGAUCACAUCGUGUGUCUUCGUGUCCAUAAAAUUUUAAUGAGUUGACCUCAAAUCA